ACACGCAUGACACACUGCAUAUCAAUAAGCGGAGGAAAAGAAACUAACAAGGAUUCCCUUAGUAACGGCGAGUGAAGCGGGAAGAGCUCAAAUUUGAAAUCUUCAAGGUUCUACCUUGACGAAUUGUAGUUUAUAGAAGUGUUUUCUGUUAGUAGAGUGGUAAAAGUUCUUUGGAAUAGGACAUCAUAGAGGGUGAGAAUCCCGUAUUUGACCAUUAUUUUCAGCUGUGUGAUACACUUUCAAAGAGUCGGAUUGUUUGGGAAUGCAGUCCAAAAUGGGUGGUAAAUUUCAUCUAAAGCUAAAUAUUGGCGAGAGACCGAUAGCGAACAAGUACCGUGAGGGAAAGAUGAAAAGAACUUUGAAAAGAGAGUUAAACAGUACGUGAAAUUGUCAAAAGGGAAGCGUUUGACACCAGUGUUGUUUUCUCGAAAAUCAAUUAAAAAAGGCCGGAUUUUGUGUUGUAUUGACCUUAAAAGCUUUCUUCACUCUUUUCUUGUCUUUUUUAAUGCACUUUUCGUUUAACAAGUCAACAUCAGUUUCUUUUGUUGUAAAAGGGUCAUUGGAAGGUGGCUUUCUUUUCGGAGAAAGUGUUUAUAGCCUUUGAUCUCUGCAACCGGAGAGACUGAGGUCUGCAGCGUAGACUCUUCGGGGUUAGAUACAGUUUGUGCUAAGCUAUAGCUUUUCAUAGACAACUUGUUGACUAUAGUUUAGUCUUGUAGCUUACUCGCUGAUGCUAUUUAUACCUACGCUUAGGAUGUUGAGCGCAUGUCUCUCUCU
rnacentral:rRNA from 1 species